rnacentral:rRNA from 1 species
CACGUAGGGGGCAAGCGUUGUCCGGAUUUAUUGGGCGUAAAGAGCUCGUAGGCGGCUCAGUAAGUCAGGUGUGAAACCUCCAGGCUCAACCUGGAGACGCCACCUGAUACUGCUGUGGCUAGAGUCCGGUAGGGGAGCGUGGAAUUCCUGGUGUAGCGGUGAAAUGCGCAGAUAUCAGGAGGAACACCGAUGGCGAAGGCAGGUCUCUGGGCAUUAACUGACGCUGAGGAGCGAAAGCAUGUGGAGCGAACAGG